CCCCUAGAUGUUCUGGGCCGCACGCGCGCUACACUGAACAGUUCAACAAGUCUUAACCUUGGCCGAUAGGUCUGGGUAAUCUUUGAACGCUGUUCGUGAUUGGGAUAGACCUUUGCAAUUAUGGGUCUUCAACGAGGAAUUCCUAGUAAACGCAAGUCAUCAGCUUGCAUUGAUUACGUCCCUGCCCUUUGUACACACCGCCCGUCGCACCUACCGAUUGAGUGGUCCGGUGAAGCCUCCGGAUUGGCGCGCACCUCGGUGCCGCCGAGAAGUUGGCUAAACCUUACCAUUUAGAGGAAGGUGAAGUCGUAACA
rnacentral:rRNA from 1 species